CCCGGGACUGCAGGAACCGGGCCUCGUGCAGGCCCUCUCUCCCUCCCUCCCUCCCUCUCUCUGUCUCUCUGUCUCUGUAUGUCUCUCUGUCUCUGUCUCCUCCAGGGGAAGCCUGGCUGCAGCUCCCAGGGCUGGGCGGGUUGCCUCCUUCCAGCCUGAGACAGGGGGUGGGGGAAGCUGGUGUGGCCAACAGCACCUGGAGCUGGCGGUGGGGUGCUGACCAGGACGGCGUCACCGAGGCCGCGUGCCCGUCAUCCCCGUGUGAUGCAAGCCGUGUUUCUUGGCGGUCUUCAUGGACUUCGAGAGAGAGAGACAGAGCAUGAACAGGGGAGGGGAGACCCAGAAACCGAAGCGGGCUCCAGGAUCUGAGCCGUCAGCACAGAGCCCGACGUGGGGCUUGAACCCACAAACCGUGAGAUCAUGACCUGAGCCGAAGUCCGACGCUCAACCGACUGAGCCACCCAGGUCCUGUCUGAGGGGCGAUUAAGAACGCUUUGCCUUUCUGCCCUGGAAGUGAACCUGCAGCGAAAGGUGAUUCGCCAGAAAAGAGUGAGUGUGCACGUUGUCUGCUCCUGGUAGGAGUCAGCGCUGGGAGGACUGGGUGGGUUCCGGGGUCUGUCCCUCCGGCUCGGAUCGCAGGCUGCAGGCAGCGCGUCCGUUUUCGCCGUAGAUGGACGGGCAGAAAAUCAAUGUUUUGCUCUGCUGACAAAGACACCCUGAUAGCUCAAAGGUAGGAGACCAUUAAAUACCACAGAUACACGAUUCACGGCGGAGGUGAAGCUUCGAGCGACCGCUGGGGGUGCCCCCCGCCCCCCCACCCCAGGAGUGCGGUGGCUGAGAUGCAGGAGAGCAGAGUUUUUUCUUGUUUUAUUUUUUUUAAUAUUUGAAAACUUUUUAUUAUGAAAAAAUUGUAGACUUAAGAAGCGUCCCGGAGAUGGGGCGCCUGGGUGGCUCAGUCAGUUAAGGGGCCGACUUCGGCUCAGGUCAUGAUCUCGCGGUCCAUGAGUUCGAGCCCCGCGGCGGGCUCUGUGCUGACAGCUCGCAGCCUGGAGCCUGCUUCGGAUUCCGUGUCUCCCCCUCUCGCUCUGCCCCUCCCCCACUCACGUUCUGUCUCUCUCUUUCUCAAAAAUAAAUAAACAUUAAAAAAAUUAAAACUUUCG